UUUUACUCCUCUUUAUUACAGGAGGUAUCAAUCAUAAAGAACCUGGUAGCUAGUAUUGGCAGAGGUGGUGGAGAGGGUUACUCCAGUUCUCAGGUACGGCCACCUCCUCACAGGAAAUGCUACCCUCCUCCUCCCACCUCUCAACCACAACCAACCAUAUUUACACGCCCUGAUCCAUUAGCAGGGAUAAACAUCAAAAA